rnacentral:rRNA from 1 species
ACUACGGGUGGCAGCAGUGGGGGAUAUUGCACAAUGGGCGAAAGCCUGAUGCAGCGACGCCGCGUGAGGGAAGACGGUCCUCUGGAUUGUAAACCACUGUCCCCAGGGACGAAAAUGACGGUACCUGGGGAGGAAGCUCCGGCUAACUAUGUUCCAGCAGCCGCGGUAAUACGUAGGGAGCGAGCGUUGUCCGGAUUUACGGGGUGUAAAGGGAGCGUAGGCGGGACUGCAAGUUGGGUGUAAAAUCUACCGGCUUAACCGGUAGCCGCACUGAAAACUGCAGUUCUUGAGUGUAGUAGAGGCAGGCGGAAUUCCUAGUGUAGCGGUGAAAUGCGUAGAUAUUAGGAGGAACACCAGUGGCGAAGGCGGCCUGCUGGGCUUUUACUGACGCUGAGGCUCGAAAGUGUGGGGAGCAAACAGGAUUAGAUACCCUUGUAGUC